rnacentral:rRNA from 1 species
UACGGAGGGGACUAGCGUUGUUCGGAAUUACUGGGCGUAAAGCGCACGUAGGCGGAUUUGUAAGUCAGGGGUGAAAUCCCGGGCUCAACCUCGGAACUGCCUUUGAUACUGCAAAUCUCGAGUCCGGAAGAGGUGAGUGGAAUUCCGUAGUGUAGAGGUGAAAUUCGUAGAUAUUAGGAAGAACACCAGUGGCGAAGGCGGCUCACUGGUCCGGUACUGACGCUGAGGUGCGAAAGCGUGGGAGCAAACAGG